rnacentral:misc_RNA from 1 species
GUGAAUCAUCAAAUUUUUGAACGCAAAUUGCACUCCCUGGUAUUCCGGGGAGUAUGCCUGUUUGAGGGUCGUUAGAAGAAAAAUAGAAGCAAAGAUUUUUUUUUGUGGGUGAUGGCGUGGGAAUUGAGCCGUCUUUCUAAUGUCAAUUAAUGUCACAGUGGCUUGAAAUGCAUGAAACUGGUAGGAUUAAAGUGUAUUUAAGAUGAAUUAUGAUUAAGAAUGUGAGAUGUGGUAGCAUCACAUGAA